AUUGAACGCUGGCGGAAUGCUUUACACAUGCAAGUCGAACGGCCGCACGGGGGCAACCCUGGUGGCGAGUGGCGAACGGGUGAGUAAUACAUCGGAACGUGACCGGUCGUGGGGGAUAACGUAACGACAGUAACGCUAAUACCGCAUACGAUCUGAGGAUGAAAGCGGGGGACCUUCGGGCCUCGCGCGAUCGGAGCGGCCGUUGUCAGAUUAGGUAGUUGGUGUGGUAAAGGCCUACCAAGACGACGAUCCGUAGCUGGUCUGAGAGGACGACCAGCCACACUGGGACUGAGACACGGCCCAGACUCCUACGGGAGGCAGCAGUGGGGAAUUUUGGACAAUGGGCGCAAGCCUGAUCCAGCCAUGCCGCGUGCAGGACGAAGGCCUUCGGAUUGUAAACCGCUUUUGUAUGGAACGAAAAGACGCUUGCUAAUACCUGGGGCUCAUGACGGUACCGUAAGAAUAAGCACCGGCUAACUACGUG
rnacentral:rRNA from 1 species